rnacentral:rRNA from 1 species
AAAAGAAACCAACAGGGAUUGCCUUAGUAGCGGCGAGUGAAGCGGCAAAAGCUCAAAUUUGAAAUCUGGCUCUUUCAGAGUCCGAGUUGUAAUUUGAAGAAGGUAUCUUUGGGUCUGGCUCUUGUCUAUGUUUCUUGGAACAGAACGUCACAGAGGGUGAGAAUCCCGUGCGAUGAGAUGAUCCAGGCCUAUGUAAAGUUCCUUCGAAGAGUCGAGUUGUUUGGGAAUGCAGCUCUAAGUGGGUGGUAAAUUCCAUCUAAAGCUAAAUAUUGGCGAGAGACCGAUAGCGAACAAGUACAGUGAUGGAAAGAUGAAAAGAACUUUGAAAAGAGAGUGAAAAAGUACGUGAAAUUGUUGAAAGGGAAGGGCUUGAGAUCAGACUUGGUAUUUUGUAUGUUACUUCUUCGGGGGUGGCCUCUACAGUUUAUCGGGCCAGCAUCAGUUUGGGCGGUAGGAGAAUUGCGUUGGAAUGUGGCACGGCCUCGGUUGUGUGUUAUAGCCUUCGUCGAUACUGCCAGCCUAGACUGAGGACUGCGGUUUAUACCUAGGAUGUUGGCAUAAUGAUCUUA